rnacentral:rRNA from 1 species
UACGUAGGUUGCGAGCGUUAUUCGGAUUUACUGGGCGUAAAGAGCACCGAGGUGGCUUCUUAAGUUGGAUGUGAAAUCUCCCGGCUUAACUGGGAGGCGCCAUUCAAAACUGGGGAGCUUGAGGUCAGCAGGGGAAAGUGGAAUUCCCGGUGUAGUGGUGGAAUGCGUAGAGAUCGGGAGGAACACCAGUGGCGAAAGCGACUUUCUGGGCUGCACCUGACACUCUAGUGCGAAAGCGUGGGGAGCAAACAGG